UUUAAGUGCAACAGUAAGUUUUCGCAGCCAACUUUGAUCGCCCGUCUUAUUUACUUUUUUUUAUAAUUAGUAUUUUUGUUGUUAUGAGAUGAUAAAACAUGAAUAGUACUUUACUUGGGACUUAUGUUUUUAUUUUUUUUAAAAAAAUUAAAUAAGACGGACGGUCAAAGUUGGGCUCAAAAAACCAUAGGUGUACUUAAA
rfam:Oryza meridionalis cultivar OR44 (W2112) chromosome 3, whole genome shotgun sequence.